rnacentral:snRNA from 1 species
AUAUUAGGCAUAUCUGGCUGUGAUAUCUGUCACCCACCCCACUGAACACCAGGGUUGAUUCAGCUGCUAAGGCUGCCUAAGUGAGUGUCCCCUUCCUCCCUCACCACUCCAUGUCCACUCAGUUGGAGAGGACGGCCUUCCCCCAAAAGGGGGAGAUUUUUUAGGGUCCUCAUGAUUCCAGUCCUGUUUCUCCUUCAGUUCUGUUUUGUAUCGGUUCCUUCUCCACACAAAGGGAGAAACCUCUUUCCCCUCCAAAUCAGAAGAGCCCAGCAGCAUCCUCU